UCAAGAAUGUGAGUGAGAUUGAACCAUCCUUGAAGAGACAACUUCUUAUAUCAACUGUCUUGAUGACUGCUGGUAUUGCCGUGGUCAAUUUCUUUGCUUUGCUAUCAGAAUUUACUCUUUAUGAUUUUGGGGCUGAGAAGGCUGUAAAGAAUUGGCACAUUUUUUUCUGUGUUGCCAUUGGCUUGUGGGCUGGACUUGCUAUUGGGUACACUACAGAAUAUUAUACCAGCAAUGCUUACAGUCCGGUGCGGGAUGUGGAAU